AUGCACGCUGGCGGCGUGCCUCAUACAUGCAAGUCGAGCGAACGGACGAGAAGCUUGCUUCUCUGAUGUUAGCGGCGGACGGGUGAGUAACACGUGGAUAACCUACCUAUAAGACUGGGAUAACUUCGGGAAACCGGAGCUAAUACCGGAUAAUAUUUUGAACCGCAUGGUUCAAAAGUGAAAGACGGUCUUGCUGUCACUUAUAGAUGGAUCCGCGCUGCAUUAGCUAGUUGGUAAGGUAACGGCUUACCAAGGCAACGAUGCAUAGCCGACCUGAGAGGGUGAUCGGCCACACUGGAACUGAGACACGGUCCAGACGCCUACGGGAGGCAGCAGUAGGGAAUCUUCCGCAAUGGGCGAAAGCCUGACGGAGCAACGCCGCGUGAGUGAUGAAGGUCUUCGGAUCGUAAAACUCUGUUAUUAGGGAAGAACAUAUGUGUAAGUAACUGUGCACAUCUUGACGGUACCUAAUCAGAAAGCCACGGCUAACUACGUG
rnacentral:rRNA from 1 species